UACGAAGGGGGCUAGCGUUGCUCGGAAUCACUGGGCGUAAAGGGUGCGUAGGCGGGUCUUUAAGUCAGGGGUGAAAUCCUGGAGCUCAACUCCAGAACUGCCUUUGAUACUGGCAAUCUUGAGUCCGGAAGAGGUAAGUGGAACUGCGAGUGUAGAGGUGAAAUUCGUAGAUAUUCGCAAGAACACCAGUGGCGAAGGCGGCUUACUGGUCCGGUACUGACGCUGAGGUGCGAAAGCGUGGGGAGCAAACAGG
rnacentral:rRNA from 1 species